rnacentral:rRNA from 1 species
AAUAUUGGUCAAUGGGCGGAAGCCUGAACCAGCCAUGCCGCGUGCAGGAGGACUGCCCUCUGGGUUGUAAACUGCUUUUAUACGCGAAUAACCGUUCCGACUUGUCGGGAUCUGAUUGUAGCUUAGGAAUAAGGAUCGGCUAACUCCGUGCCAGCAGCCGCGGUAAUACGGAGGAUCCGAGCGUUAUCCGGAUUUAUUGGGUUUAAAGGGUGCGUAGGCGGCACAUUAAGUCAGGGGUGAAAUUCGGCAGCUCAACUGUCGGCGUGCCUUUGAUACUGGUGUGCUUGAAUUGGUUCGAGGUCGGCGGAAUGUGACAAGUAGCGGUGAAAUGCAUAGAUAUGUCACAGAACUCCAAUUGCGAAGGCAGCUGACCAGGUCCAUAUUGACGCUGAUGCACGAAAGCGUGGGUAUCGAACA